AUUGCCCCAGUAACGGCGAGUGAAGCGGCAACAGCUCAAAUUUGAAAUCUGGUCCCCAGGGCCCGAGUUGUAAUUUGCAGAGGAUGCUUUUGGUGAGGUGCCUUCCGAGUUCCCUGGAACGGGACGCCAUAGAGGGUGAGAGCCCCGUCUGGUUGGAUACCGAGCCUCUGUAAAGCUCCUUCGACGAGUCGAGUAGUUUGGGAAUGCUGCUCUAAAUGGGAGGUAUAUGUCUUCUAAAGCUAAAUAUUGGCCAGAGACCGAUAGCGCACAAGUAGAGUGAUCGAAAGAUGAAAAGCACUUUGAAAAGAGGGUUAAAUAGUACGUGAAAUUGUUGAAAGGGAAGCACUUAUGACCAGACUUGGCCCCGGUGAAUCAUCCAGCGGUCCCCGCUGGUGCACUUUGCCGGGGUUCAGGCCAGCAUCAGUUCGCUCCGGGGGAUAAAGGCUUUGGGAAUGUGGCUCCCUCGGGAGUGUUAUAGCCCAUUGCGUAAUACCUUGUGGCGGGCUGAGGUUCGCGCUUUAUGCAAGGAUGCUGGCAUAAUGGUCAUCAGUGACCCGUCUUGAAACACGGACCAAGGAGUCGUCUUCGUAUGCGAGUGUUCGGGUGUUAAACCCCUACGCGUAAUGAAAGUGAACGCAGGUGAGAGCCCUCCAGGGCGCAUCAUCGACCGAUCCUGAUGUUCUCGGAUGGAUUUGAGUAAGAGCAUACGGGGCCGGACCCGAAAGAAGGUGAACUAUGCCUGUAUAGGGUGAAGCCAGAGGAAACUCUGGUGGAGGCUCGCAGCGGUUCUGACGUGCAAAUCGAUCGUCAAAUAUGGGCAUGGGGGCGAAAGACUAAUCGA
rnacentral:rRNA from 1 species